rnacentral:rRNA from 1 species
UGGCGACCGGCGCACGGGUGCGUAACGCGUAUGCAACCUACCUGUAACAGGGGGAUAACACUGAGAAAUCGGUACUAAUACCGCAUAACACUAUGAGAGGCAUCUCUUGUGGUUGAAAGUUUCGGCGGUUACAGAUGGGCAUGCGUUGUAUUAGCUGGUUGGUAAGGUAACGGCUUACCAAGGCGACGAUACAUAGGGGGACUGAGAGGUUAACCCCCCACAUUGGUACUGAGACACGGACCAAACUCCUACGGGAGGCAGCAG